AAUGUGAAUGAAAGCGGUGAUUUUGCACGUAAAUGAACUCCUCCAUUUCGAACGUUGAGAAUCGAAGGAAGUCUUGGAAAGAGAGAUGCAGCUCCUUAAACAAAGGAGGAAGAAUUGAAAACUUGAGUAUGUGAUCACGCGCAUCGGAUCAGUGGAAGGCAGGCGGAGAUGCCAUGCCCAAUCCCAAAGAAAUCAGUUAACGCUGUCCAGAGUUAUAAACAAAUCCCCUUAUAUCAUUUCAAUGAUUAUCUUCAUCUCCUUGGCGAUUGCAUAUCAUCAAAAUCAUUAACACCAGGCAAACUAAUCCAUCAAAAUCUCCUCAAAAACCCGAACUUUAACACCAAAAAUAAAUCUUGUAUUACGUUACUGGAUAAGCUUUCUAAGCUCUUUAUUACAUGCAGCAAACCAGAACUAGCUCAUAAAACCUUCAACUCAAUCCCAAGCCCAGAAAGGCAAAAGAAGGGAAUUUUAUGGAACCAAUUGAUUAGGUCCUACGCUUGGGAAGGACCCUUUGAGAACGCCAUCCAUUUGUACUAUGAGAUGGUGGAUAUUGGAGUCAAACCCACAAAAUUUACAUACCCUUUUGUCCUUAAAGCUUGUGCUGCAUUGCAGGAUAUAGAUAAUGGUGUGAAGAUUCAUGAUCAUGUAAAAAGAGAUGGGCUUGCCUCAGAUGUUUAUAUUUCUACUGCUUUGGUUGAUUUGUAUGUUAAAUGUGGGUGUUUGCUUGAGGCGAGACAGGUGUUUGAUGAAAUGCCUGAGAGAGAUGUUGUUGCAUGGAAUGCAAUGAUUUCAGGGUUCUCGAUUCAUGGGAUGUAUGGGGAUGUGAUUCAUUUAGUUUUGGAAAUGCAAGAAGUGGGAGUGAGUCCUAAUUCUUCGACUUUUGUGACCAUUUUGCCAGUGAUUGGGGAGGCGAAUGAGGUGAUUGCUGGAAAGGCUGUUCACGGGUUGUCGGUGAGGAGGGGAAUUGAUAGUGAUGUCAUGAUGGGAACAGGGCUUUUGGAUAUGUAUGGAAAAUGUGGGUGGUUAGUUUAUGCAAGGAGGAUAUUUCAUGCAAUGACUUUCAGAAAUGAGGUGACCUGGAGUGCGAUGAUUGGAGCUUGUAUUGCUUGUGAUUGCACUCAAGAGGGGCUGGAAUUGUUUGAGCAAAUGAGGGUGGAGGAUGUUGGAAGUCUUUCACCUGUAACACUUGCAACUGUUAUCCGAGGUACGGCUAAGCUGAUUGAUCUGAAGGUAGGAAAACAGAUACAUGGUUACACUGUUAAGUUAGGGUCCAAUUUGGUUUUGAUGGUUGCUAAUACACUUCUUUCAAUGUAUGCAAAAUGUGGUAUUCUGGAUGAUGCAACAAAGUUCUUUGAGGAAAUGAGUUUCAAGGACUCUGUUUCUUAUAGUGCUCUUAUCUCUGGAUGUAUUCAAAAUGGAAGUGCAGAGGAGGCUUUGCAAAUUUUCCGUGCAAUGCAGUUGUCUGCAGUUGAGCCAAUAUUAGCAACCAUGAUGGGACUCUUGCCAGCUUGUUCACAUGUGGCAGCUCUACGACAUGGGUAUUCUUGUCAUGCUUAUUCUAUAGUGCGUGGAUUCACUGCAGAUGUGUCGCUUUGUAAUGCUUUAAUUGACAUGUAUUCCAAGUGUGGUAAGAUUGAUGUGGCCAGAGUUGUUUUUGAUAAGAUGCAUAAGAAGGAUUUAGUCUCUUGGAAUGCAAUGAUCAUUGGUUAUGGAAUUCAUGGACUUGGAGUCGAAGCUAUUUCAGUGUUCCAGAAUAUGCAGGUUGUCAGACAAAAUCCAGAUGAAGUAACUUUUAUUGGUCUUUUAUCUGCUUGCAGUCACUCAGGACUCGUUGCUGAAGGAAAGCAUUGGUUUCAAUCCAUGAGUCAGGAAUUCAGCAUCAAACCAAGGAUAGAUCACUAUUUGUGCAUUGUAGAUCUUUUGGGUCGUAAUGGACUUUUGGAUGAGGCCUUCAAUUUCAUCCAGGGGAUGCCAUUGAAACCUGAUGUGCGUAUCUGGAAUGCGUUGCUUUCUGCUUGUCGGGUCUAUAAGAAAAUCGAACUGGUAGAAGAAAUAUCAAAUAAAAUUCAGAGCCUAGGGCCUGAAAGUACAGGCAAUUUUGUUCUCUUAUCAAACAUUUACAGCACAGUUGGGAGAUGGGAUGAUGCUGCUGACGUUAGAGUUAUGCAGAAGGGGUUGGGUUUCAGAAAGAGCCCAGGAAGUAGUUGGAUUGAAGUAAAUGGGGUUAUCCAUGCAUUUGUUGGUGGAGACCGAUCUCAUUCACAAUCAGCCAAAAUAAAUGAGAAAUUGCUGCAAUUACAAGCAGAAAUGAAAAAGUUGGGCUAUAUGGCAGAACCUGAUUUUGUUUAUCAAGAUGUUGAAGACGAAGAGAAGGAACACAUCCUUCUUUAUCAUAGUGAAAAGCUUGCUGUUGCAUUUGGAUUGCUAAAUCUGGAUGAGGAAAAAGCCAUUUUUGUCACAAAGAAUUUGCGGGUUUGUGGUGAUUGCCACACUGCACUUAAAUUUAUGACUCUUAUCACAAGGAGGCGAAUAAUUUUGAGGGAUACGGUUCGCUUUCACCAUUUUUCGGAAGGUGGAUGCAGCUGUGGAGAUUUCUGGUGAAAAAAAAUAAAUGAACACAUAAUGAAGGUUGGCAGUGCCAUGAACCAGAGUCUCUCAGUCUCUCUCUCCCAAGCUAAGCUCGGAAAUCCAGGGCCUCAAGCUAGGUUGACACUAAGUAGAUGCUAAGAUUGUGGGACAACAAAGUCAUUGAUAUAUGGAGAGCUACAAGAUCCAAAGACAAUCCAAAUAUGCACAGAGUUCCUGUAUGAAUGGGCAGUUCACAUCAGUCAAAACUUUAACUACCAGUGUUGCAUGUUAGUGGCAUGACUAAUGAAGCAUAGUUCUCAAAUGGACUUCAAGCAAUGACUCUAGGUUUAGAGUGUCUAGGAAAAUCCUAACUGUUUUAUGCACUCAAAUCACACUCCUUUUUGGAAAAAGUGAUCCAUCACUUUCACUCACAUGAAGAGAUACCAAUAACCAUGGUAUCCUAACUUCAUCUUUGGACAAAAUAAAAGGAAUUACAGAAUUAUUCUUGCACCUAAAGUCAUAGUUAAAGACAGCUUAAUCGUCCAAUUCCUUUAGAAAAUAGAGAUGUGCACUAUUCCCAGCAUAAGCCACAACGCACAUCCACAUUAAAGCCACAACAAGAUAAAACAAGAGUUUGCACUAUUUUGCCUGAGACAACUGAGAAUGACCUGAAAAUUCAAGCAUUCAAUGCAUCAAUAGGUGCUCAAGAUUCCUCCAUAUAGAUCUAAGAACGGCAAAUGAGUCCAACCCCAAAGAAGUAGCUACUGUAUUACGAAGCCCAAACAUCACCCCAAAUGACAAUAUAAAAAUGGUUCAGAUUAGAUAUCCAUGGACAUAAGUUCAAGAACACAGUACUAGGAUUUAAAAAUCGAAGUACAA